UGCCAGGUAGUCGAGCGGUAAGACGUCCGGCCGUUACCCGGAAGGCGGGGGUUCGAGCCCCUCCCUGGCAG
rnacentral:tRNA from 1 species